UACAAAUAAAAAAGAUUGAAAGC
rnacentral:siRNA from 1 species